UACAAAGCGUAAAAUCAUUUGCUUCCCAACAGUAUUCAGAGGUUUGUUUGAAACUAGAGAGAGCCGGUAUGAACUAAGGGGAACAGGUGUGUAUAAAAAACCAAAGGUAAGGACAAACAUAAAGAACAGGUGUAUUUGGGUAAAAGGGGUUAACUUGUGGAAUUAAGAAUGUGUAGUUCACUUUCCAGAUUUAAAUUUUUGCUUAAAAAAUGGUGUUUAACAAAUAUAAAAGGUCGGUUUGAUUAUUUUUUGUGAGUGUGACUUCUGUUUUUUUUUUUGUUUGUUUCAUUUGGUUUUUUUUAAAGAAAUUCUUGGAA